CCAUUGCUCUGACAGCUUUGCAUCACACGAGCCCGUUCCCAGCACACCGCCUGAGCUUUCUGCUUUUGCAGAAGUGCCACUGCUGUGUUCCUGAGGCAGUGCAGUCUGGAGCUGAUGGAUGAAGAAUCGCCCCUCUGCACUUCCAAACCAGAGCAAAAAGCUAAAUCAUGCUAUGAAAAAGAAGUGUCCUUUGCUCCUGGUUCCUGUGUGGAGCAGCUCCCUUCCCGCUGGCUGAGCUGCUCAGGCAGAGCCCAGCAGCUCCUGGCCCUGCAGGGCUGAGGCU